AGGACGAACGCUGGCGGCGCGCUUAACACAUGCAAGUCGAGCGAGAACCAGUCCUUCGGGACUGGGGACAGCGGCGAACGGGUGAGUAACACGUGGGUAAUCUGCCCUCGAUUCUGGGAUAGCCCGGGGAAACCCGGAUUAAUACCGGAUAGCCUUUCGGGCUUUCGAGCUCGUUAGAAAAGGUAGCUUCGGCCUCCGAUCGAGGAUGAGCCCGCGGCGGAUUAGCUUGUUGGUGGGUAAUGGCCUACCAAGGCGACGAUCCGUAGCUGGUCUGAGAGGACGAUCAGCCACACUGGGACUGAGACACGGCCCAGACUCCUACGGGAGGCAGCAGGUGGGAAUCUUGCGCAAUGGGCGAAAGCCUGACGCAGCGACGCCGGCGGUGGGGAAGAAGGCCGUUACGGGUUGUAAACCUCUUUCAGCGAGGACGAAGCCACGUCGGUUAAGUACGCCCGAAGAGGUAGACGGUACCGUCGCGAA
rnacentral:rRNA from 1 species